GGAUAACCUGCCCUUGGGUCCGGCAUAACCCCGGGAAACUGGGGAUAAUUCCGGAUAACGCACAUAUGCUGGAAUGCUUUAUGCGUAAAAUGGAUUCGUCUGCCCAAGGAUGGGUCUGCGGCCUAUCAGGUAGUAGUGGGUGUAAUGUACCUACUAGCCAACAACGGGUACGGGUUGUGAGAGCAAGAGCCCGGAGAUGGAUUCUGAGACAUGAAUCCAGGCCCUACGGGGCGCAGCAGGCGCGAAAACUUUACAAUGCGGGAAACCGUGAUAAGGGGACACCGAGUGCCAACAUCAUAUGCUGGCUGUCCGGGUGUGUAAAAUACACCCGUUAGCAAGGGCCGGGCAAGACCGGUGCCAGCCGCCGCGGUAACACCGGCGGCCCGAGUGGUGAUCGUGAUUAUUGGGUCUAAAGGGUCCGUAGCCGGUUUGGUCAGUCCUCCGGGAAAUCUGACGGCUUAACCGUUAGGCUUUCGGGGGAUACUGCCAGGCUUGGAACCGGGAGAGGUAAGAGGUACUACAGGGGUAGGAGUGAAAUUUUGUAAUCCCUGUGAGACCACCUGUGGCGAAGGCGUUUUACCAGAACGGGUUUGACGGUGAGGGACGAAAGCUGGGGGCACGAACCGGAUUAGAUACCCGGGUAGUCCCAGCCGUAAACGAUGCUCGCUAGGUGUCAGGCAUGGCGCGACCGUGUCUGGUGCCGCAGGGAAGCCGUGAAGCGAGCCACCUGGGAAGUACGGCCGCAAGGCUGAAACU
rnacentral:rRNA from 1 species